CUGGCAGUGUCAAAAUGCUUAGAACACUGUUAAACAUGCAAAACUUUUCGACAGUUUCGUGCGGUUGUUUCAAAGAAGCUGUUCACCACCGACGCUACCGAGAUUUUCAACAAUUCCGCUACAGAAUCAACGAAAAAGAUGCGGAAGAGUUGGGAGAGUCAAAGGCGUGUAAUAUCUGGUUUUAGCAGUGUAAGUGUAACAAAUGUUUCCACAAAGGUAAAAGAAUUUAAAUUUAUUCAAAUUCGAACUUUUUUUGCGCACGCGGUGUGCGA